CAGGAAAUAGUUUAAUUAAAAUAUUAAUUUUGGAGAUUAAUGAUAGAAGGUUUUCUUUUCCUGA
rnacentral:tRNA from 1 species